CACAUAUUAUUUAACAUGCGAUAAAAAUUUCGUAGGGAAAUUGCAGAGAAUACUACUUGUUCUGUUUAACAGUGGGCAAUAUUGAACUGAACCAUCGUCAUUGCUGUUGUAAUUAGGACUCUUUUCGUAUGGGAGGUGUGCACGUUAUAAUUACGUCACCGUCGCCAUACUGGAUGACAUUGACAAAAGAUUUUGCAUGUUUGCAAUGCAAAUAUCAUCCAGCAUGGCGAAAAUCUCUUUGUCUUUUGAAUCCGAUGGGAGUGGUUGCACAUCACGUACACUGUACAAGACUGCUUCGUUCCUUCACAAAAAUAUAACUGAGAAAUAUAACUGAAAUCAUGCUAUUUAUUCGGG